AGAGAAAGAUGGUGAGUUACAAAAGGGAAGUUUUACUCUUUGCUGUUAAUUUUAAAAAAACAAGAUAUUAAGCUAUUUAGUCUCGUAGCUCAGCUGGUUAGAGCGCUACACUGAUAAUGUAGAGGUCGGCAGUUCGAGUCUGCCCGGGACUACAAUUUUUUAAUAUUUUAGGAAAUUCUGGAAGUUAGAGGAUUCUACAUUCAUAAUUUAGGAUUUAUUCUGAAUUUCAUAAUGGGGGAUUAGCUCAGCUGGCUAGAGCGCUUGCCUUGCACGCAAGAGGUCAUCGGUUCGACUCCGAUAUUCUCCACAAGGGUCAAUUUUAAUUAAGAGGCCACAAGUUCAUUGACAUAUUGGUAAAAUGAUAUCGUAAGAAUCAAAUAGAUAGAGAACAUUUAGAAUAUUUAUAUUCUAGAUAAAAAUUUAUAUA
rnacentral:tRNA from 1 species